AUUGAACGCUGGCGGCAUGCCUUACACAUGCAAGUCGAACGGUAACAAGGUCUUCGGAUGCUGACGAGUGGCGAACGGGUGAGUAAUACAUCGGAACGUGCCCGAUCGUGGGGGAUAACGCAGCGAAAGCUGUGCUAAUACCGCAUACGAUCUACGGAUGAAAGCGGGGGAUCGCAAGACCUCGCGCGGACGGAGCGGCCGAUGGCAGAUUAGGUAGUUGGUGGGAUAAAGGCUUACCAAGCCGACGAUCUGUAGCUGGUCUGAGAGGACGACCAGCCACACUGGGACUGAGACACGGCCCAGACUCCUACGGGAGGCAGCAGUGGGGAAUUUUGGACAAUGGGCGAAAGCCUGAUCCAGCCAUGCCGCGUGCAGGAUGAAGGCCUUCGGGUUGUAAACUGCUUUUGUACGGAACGAAAAAAGUCUUCUCUAAUACAGGGGGCGAAUGACGGUACCGUAAGAAUAAGCACCGGCUAACUACGUG
rnacentral:rRNA from 1 species